rnacentral:rRNA from 1 species
GUUGGGUAGGGGAGCGUUCUGUAAGCCUGUGAAGGUGUGUCGUGAGGCAUGCUGGAGGUAUCAGAAGUGCGAAUGCUGACAUAAGUAACGAUAAAGCGGGUGAAAAGCCCGCUCGCCGGAAGACCAAGGGUUCCUGUCCAACGUUAAUCGGGGCAGGGUGAGUCGACCCCUAAGGCGAGGCCGAAAGGCGUAGUCGAUGGGAAACGGGUUAAUAUUCCCGUACUUGGUGUUACUGCGAAGGGGGGACGGAGAAGGCUAUGUUGGCCGGGCGACGGUUGUCCCGGUUUAAGCGUGUAGGUGUGUGUUCCAGGUAAAUCCGGUUCACUUUAACACUGAGGCGUGACGACGAGGCACUACGGUGCUGAAGCAACAAAUGCCCUGCUUCCAGGAAAAGCCUCUAAGCAUCAGGUAACAUCAAAUCGUACCCCAAACCGACACAGGUGGUCAGGUAGAGAAUACCAAGGCGCUUGAGAGAACUCGGGUGAAGGAACUAGGCAAAAUGGUGCCGUAACUUCGGGAGAAGGCACGCUGACACGUAGGUGAAGUGAUUUACUCAUGGAGCUGAAGUCAGUCGAAGAUACCAGCUGGCUGCAACUGUUUAUUAAAAACACAGCACUGUGCAAACACGAAAGUGGACGUAUACGGUGUGACGCCUGCCCGGUGCCGGAAGGUUAAUUGAUGGGGUCAGCGCAAGCGAAGCUCCUGAUCGAAGCCCCGGUAAACGGCGGCCGUAACUAUAACGGUCCUAAGGUAGCGAAAUUCCUUGUCGGGUAAGUUCCGACCUGCACGAAUGGCGUAAUGAUGGCCAGGCUGUCUCCACCCGAGACUCAGUGAAAUUGAACUCGCUGUGAAGAUGCAGUGUACCCGCGGCAAGACGGAAAGACCCCGUGAACCUUUACUAUAGCUUGACACUGAACAUUGAGCCUUGAUGUGUAGGAUAGGUGGGAGGCUUUGAAGUGUGGACGCCAGUCUGCAUGGAGCCGACCUUGAAAUACCACCCUUUAAUGUUUGAUGUUCUAACGUGGACCCGUGAUCCGGGUUGCGGACAGUGUCUGGUGGGUAGUUUGACUGGGGCGGUCUCCUCCUAAAGAGUAACGGAGGAGCACGAAGGUUGGCUAAUCCUGGUCGGACAUCAGGAGGUUAGUGCAAUGGCAUAAGCCAGCUUGACUGCGAGCGUGACGGCGCGAGCAGGUGCGAAAGCAGGUCAUAGUGAUCCGGUGGUUCUGAAUGGAAGGGCCAUCGCUCAACGGAUAAAAGGUACUCCGGGGAUAACAGGCUGAUACCGCCCAAGAGUUCAUAUCGACGGCGGUGUUUGGCACCUCGAUGUCGGCUCAUCACAUCCUGGGGCUGAAGUAGGUCCCAAGGGUAUGGCUGUUCGCCAUUUAAAGUGGUACGCGAGCUGGGUUUAGAACGUCGUGAGACAGUUCGGUCCCUAUCUGCCGUGGGCGCUGGAGAACUGAGGGGGGCUGCUCCUAGUACGAGAGGACCGGAGUGGACGCAUCACUGGUGUUCGGGUUGUCAUGCCAAUGGCACUGCCCGGUAGCUAAAUGCGGAAGAGAUAAGUGCUGAAAGCAUCUAAGCACGAAACUUGCCCCGAGAUGAGUUCU